rnacentral:rRNA from 1 species
GAUGAACGCUAGCGGCAGGCCUAAUACAUGCCAGUCGAACGGGAUCCAGAUCAAAGCUUGCUUUGGUUUGGUGAGAGUGGCGUACGGGUGCGUAACGCGUGAGCAACCUACCCUUGUCAGGGGGAUAGCCCGGCGAAAGUCGGAUUAAUACCGCAUGACAUCAUUGAGAGGCAUCUUUCGAUGAUCAAAGAUUUAUCGGACAAGGAUGGGCUCGCGUGACAUUAGCUAGUUGGUAAGGUAACGGCUUACCAAGGCUACGAUGUCUAGGGGCUCUGAGAGGAGAAUCCCCCACACUGGUACUGAGACACGGACCAGACUCGUACGGGAGGCAGCAGUAAGGAAUAUUGGUCAAUGGACGGAAGUCUGAACCAGCCAUGCCGCGUGCAGGAAGACGGCCCUAUGGGUUGUAAACUGCUUUUAUACGGGAACAAACGUCGGUACGUGUACCGGUCUGAGUGUACCGUAAGAAUAAGGAUCGGCUAACUCCGUG